UGGGGAAUAUUGCACAAUGGGCGAAAGCCUGAUGCAGCGACGCCGCGUGGGGGAUGACGGUCUUCGGAUUGUAAACCCCUUUCAGUAGGGACGAAGCGCAAGUGACGGUACCUGCAGAAGAAGCACCGGCUAACUACGUGCCAGCAGCCGCGGUAAUACGUAGGGUGCGAGCGUUGUCCGGAAUUACUGGGCGUAAAGAGCUCGUAGGCGGUUUGUCACGUCGUCUGUGAAAUCCCUCGGCUUAACCGGGGGCGUGCAGGCGAUACGGGCAGACUUGAGUACUACAGGGGAGACUGGAAUUCCUGGUGUAGCGGUGAAAUGCGCAGAUAUCAGGAGGAACACCGGUGGCGAAGGCGGGUCUCUGGGUAGUAACUGACGCUGAGGAGCGAAAGCAUGGGUAGCGAACAGGAUUAGAUACCCUGGUAGUCCAUGCCGUAAACGGUGGGCGCUAGGUGUGGGGUCCUUCCACGGACUCCGUGCCGUAGCUAACGCACUAAGCGCCCCGCCUGGGGAGUACGGCCGCAAGGCU
rnacentral:rRNA from 1 species